GGGUUAAUUAGUCCUAAUCUGAGCAUUUUUGCAUGAUGGGGCUACACUCGGGACUCAAAACCUAUACCCUUGUAGUUGGAAUUCCAAACAUACACCAUGCAGUUGCAAGCGUAAGACUUUUAAAACCAUUACACCAAGCAGUGACCGCUCAAAAGUCAAGCCCAGGAUUUCGCUCGAGAUACAAGUUGGUGGAACCAGAAAAAAGAAAAAGGCCUUCAAGAGUCAAGUCAGAUAGAAGUACAAUAUACAGCCUUCCACCAAAGAAGUCUGAAGAAACAUAUUUCAGUCAGUUUUAC
rnacentral:misc_RNA from 1 species